GGCCAACCCGCAAGGGAGGUAGGUCCCAAGGAGUGAACGGUAACGUGGGUG
rnacentral:rRNA from 1 species